rnacentral:rRNA from 1 species
AAUAGAUACCCCGGUAGUCCACGCCGUAAACGAUGAAUGCUAGGUGUUAGGGGUUUCGAUACCCUUGGUGCCGAAGUUAACACAUUAAGCAUUCCGCCUGGGGAGUACGGUCGCAAGACUGAAACUCAAAGGAAUUGACGGGGACCCGCACAAGCAGUGGAGUAUGUGGUUUAAUUCGAAGCAACGCGAAGAACCUUACCAGGUCUUGACAUCCCUUUGACCGGUUCAGAGAUGAGCCUUUCCUUCGGGACAGAGGAGACAGGUGGUGCAUGGUUGUCGUCAGCUCGUGUCGUGAGAUGUUGGGUUAAGUCCCGCAACGAGCGCAACCCUUGAUCUUAGUUGCCAGCACAUGAAGGUGGGCCCUCUAAGAUGACUGCCGGUGACAAACCGGAGGAAGGUGGGGAUGACGUCAAAUCAUCAUGCCCCUUAUGACCUGGGCUACACACGUACUACAAUGGCCGGUACAACGGGCAGCGAAGGGGCGACCUGGAGCGAAUCCUACCAAAGCCGGUCUCAGUUCGGAUUGCAGG